UACGGUCAUAUCCCCAGAAACACUUGUUUCCAUACGAUCACGAAAGUUAAGCAAGUUCGAGCCUGCUCAGUAUCUGGAUGGGUGGCCACUUGGGAAUACCAGGUGUUGUAAG